rnacentral:lncRNA from 1 species
AAGAAUGUGUUCCUUUAUUCAAUCGAAUUAUAUACAAAACAAAUGAUGAUAAUGAAAGCCAUAUCUCCCUCCAAAGAAACCAAAAAAUCAAAAAGAAUCUGCAGACCCAAAACAUCAUCUUCCUCAAAACAAUGAGAAACUCACUCAUUCUUCAGAACCCCCAAAGUUGAAAUAUAACAAGACUCUAGUGAAAGAAAAGCGCCGCAAAAGAGAGGAGAGAAGCGCAAAGAAUGACACCGAAGGCAGGAGUGAGAAAGGACGAAGCGCUCUCCAUGGAUGGAGACGGAGAUGGGCUCUCCUGAGCAGCAACAGAGGAGGCCAUGGCCACCACAAACAAAAGAAGAGACGCAACAAAUGCCAACAACUUCUGAGAGGCCAUUGCUAAAAAUUAGGGUUUGGAGAUCGAAAGCUUAUAGAGGGAGAGGGAGAGGGAGAGGGAGAGGGAGAGAGAGGAGGGGU